rnacentral:rRNA from 1 species
UACGUAGGGUGCAAGCGUUGUCCGGAAUUAUUGGGCGUACAGAGCUCGUAGGCGGUUUGUCGCGUCUGCUGUGAAAACGCGAGGCUCAACCUCGCGCCUGCAGUGGGUACGGGCAGACUAGAGUGCGGUAGGGGAGAUUGGAAUUCCUGGUGUAGCGGUGGAAUGCGCAGAUAUCAGGAGGAACACCGAUGGCGAAGGCAGAUCUCUGGGCCGUAACUGACGCUGAGGAGCGAAAGCGUGGGGAGCGAACAGG